AGAGUUUGAUUCUGGCUCAGGAUGAACGCUGGCGGCGUGCUUAACACAUGCAAGUCGAGCGAAGCACUCUGCUUUGAUUCUUUCGGGAUGAAGAGCAUUGUGACUGAGCGGCGGACGGGUGAGUAACGCGUGGGUAACCUGCCUCAUACAGGGGGAUAACAGUUGGAAAUGGCUGCUAAUACCGCAUAAGACCACAGCACCGCAUGGUGCAGGGGUAAAAACUCCGGUGGUAUGAGAUGGACCCGCGUCUGAUUAGCUAGUUGGUGGGGUAACGGCCUACCAAGGCGACGAUCAGUAGCCGACCUGAGAGGGUGACCGGCCACAUUGGGACUGAGACACGGCCCAAACUCCUACGGGAGGCAGCAGUGGGGAAUAUUGCACAAUGGGGGAAACCCUGAUGCAGCGACGCCGCGUGAGCGAAGAAGUAUUUCGGUAUGUAAAGCUCUAUCAGCAGGGAAGAAAAUGACGGUACCUGACUAAGAAGCCCCGGCUAACUACGUGCCAGCAGCCGCGGUAAUACGUAGGGGGCAAGCGUUAUCCGGAUUUACUGGGUGUAAAGGGAGCGUAGACGGCGAGGCAAGUCUGAUGUGAAAACCCGGGGCUCAACCCCGUGACUGCAUUGGAAACUGUUUUGCUUGAGUGCCGGAGAGGUAGCGGAAUUCCUAGUGUAGCGGUGAAAUGCGUAGAUAUCAGGAGGAACAUCAGUGGCGAAGGCGGCUUUCUGGACUGUAACUGACGCUGAGGCGCGAGAGCGUGGGGAGCAAACAGGAUUAGAUACCCUGGUAGUCCACGCCGUAAACGAUGAAUACCAGGUGUAGGGGGUAUCGACCCCCUCUGUGCCGCAGCAAACGCAAUAAGUAUUCCGCCUGGGGAGUACGGCCGCAAGGUUGAAACUCAAAGGAAUUGACGGGGGCCCGCACAAGCAGCGGAGCAUGUGGUUUAAUUCGACGCAACGCGAAGAACCUUACCAAGACUUGACAUCCUCUGACGCAUAUAGAGAUAUAUGUUCCCUUCGGGGCAGAGAGACAGGUGGUGCAUGGUUGUCGUCAGCUCGUGUCGUGAGAUGUUGGGUUAAGUCCCGCAACGAGCGCAACCCUUGUGAACAGUUGCCAGUAUUAAGUUAGGAACUCUGUUCAGACUGCCGUGGACAACACGGAGGAAGGUGGGGACGACGUCAAAUCAUCAUGCCCCUUACGUCUUGGGCUACACACGUGCUACAAUGGCCGUAACAGAGGGCAGCGAAAGGGCAACCUGGAGCGAAUCUCAAAAAAACGGUCUCAGUUCAGACUGUGGGCUGCAACCCGCCCACAUGAAGACGGAGUUGCUAGUAAUCGCGGAUCAGCAUGCCGCGGUGAAUGCGUUCCCGGGCCUUGUACACACCGCCCGUCACACCAUGGGAGUUGAGAGCACCCGAAGUCGGUGACCUAACCGCAAGGAAGGAGCCGCCGAAGGUGAGAUUGAUGACUGGGGUGAAGUCGUAACAAGGUA
rnacentral:rRNA from 1 species